AGAAGUCCCGCCUGCCCAGCCGUGACUGGCAGAGGCUUCCAAUGGGAGGCUGUAUUUCUUUCCCCUACCACCUCCGCCCGUAACUGACAGAGGCAGCGUCUGAGGCUUUUUUUUCCCCUCGAUAAAGGAAUGCAGAGGCUUUAGGUCCACGCUGCGCGGUGGGCGGGGGCCUCAUCCGGAGGGGCGCUGCGGGCAGAAGACUGCAGCCGCCGCAGGCCCCGCCCAUCACCCGUCGAUGCUGUCAGCCCCAGGUUCCUGUCUCUGCUUUUCCCCCCGCUCCGUUCCCGCUCUCCCCCUACCUCACACACAGUGCAUGCUCAGUCCCUGCCUCAGAUCCGUGACUCGCGGUCACGCCCCUGCCUCAGCUUCCACGUGUCACGUAUUAUAAUCUAUAAAAAUAGUCAUAAAGUAAAACGCCCCCCGCUGCCCAUCGCGGGCAUGACCCCGCCUCAUGCUCACUCAGGUGAGACCCCACUAUGGUCUCCCGCGUCUCAGCUGACGCCGUCCCCGCCCAACCGUGGGGUCCCGGGAAAAGUCAGGGCGCGUACUGCCGCCGCCAUGACACCCACAGGCCAGCAGAGGGCGCCCUCGGCUCCCCUCACAGACGGCCCUGAGCUGUCUGCCCGCUGUGUGUGCGGGUCCCACGGGUGGGGGGCUGCGACCCCCAGGGAAGAAGAUGUCCACUCGCCGGGCCACCCGGGGUCCCCAGAGACUGAAACCGCCCCACCCCACCCCGCGGAGAGAUCCGCAUCUGCAGAGACUCGGGCGGGCGGGCGUGAUUUUUAUAUAAAAUAAAAAAAGUCUCGUGUGCUUAU
rnacentral:lncRNA from 1 species